rnacentral:lncRNA from 1 species
GCAGAGGCCGACACCACGGGGCGGCUGGUAUGUGUCCACCGGCCCCUAGGCGCCUCGAGCCCCGCCCCUGGGAGACGCAGGCUCCUCCCCGCGGAGCGAGAGCCCGCGGAGCUGCUCCGAGACCCGCGGGAGGGCACCUCCGGUCACCCGAGCCGCAAAUCCCCGCCGUCCGAAGGGGGUGUCGCCCCGGGCUGUCGGCCCAGCGUGGCUUAGGCCAGACCCCGAUCCAUCGACACCCCAAGGAAAUGCUGUGCACAAAAUUCCAAGAGGGCCUUUUCGAAUAGACGCAUGAACGGUGUUUGUGUCUGGAUCGUCCAGCCUCCCGGGAUCGAUUGGGAAUCUAGCUUCUGCUUGCCUUUCCAGCGCGACGCACAGUAGGAGCCUAAUAAAUGUUUGCUGAAUGAAUGCUGAAUAUCGAACUCAGUUCCGAGGCAGCAGGAAGAGAUGCGGCCCCUGGAUGUCGCCGAGCUGUCAGAACCGGAGGAAGUGGAGGUGCUGGAGCUGGAGGGGGGUUUUGAGCAGUUUCUGCUCCCGGUCAUCCAUGAGAUGCCAGAGGACAUCGCGUCGCUGACAAGCACUGGCGGGCGUACCUGUGGAAGCGGAGCACGCUGUGGGAGAUGGACAAUAUGCUCUUCCAGAUCAAAACCCAGGUGGAGGCUUCGGAGGAGCAUCCUCAACCGCCUCCACAACCCGGGCGACGCAGUGGAGGGCAGGGUGACCAAGAGGUGCCAGAAGGCCGAGGAGAAGGCCAAGGAAAUGGUGAAGAUGGCAGAGAUGCUGGUGGAGCUGGCCCAGAGGAUAGAGACGAACGAGUCGAGAGCACGGUCGGUGGUUUACAGCCAAUGGAUUCUGGUAAACUGGUGGAGAUUGGCUGACACCCAGAAGAAGCUGAAACCAGAGAGCCUUUGGUUUUCUCUAUUUUACUCUGUCCACGCUCUGUCCUCACUCACACUCAGUUCUCUGCUAUGGUCUGUGGUUGAUGAACUCAAUAUGAGUUUUGAUUGUUUGUGUUUUUGUCUGGGGAAGUAAGUUUAUUUGGAAAAUGCUCUCUCAUACAGGAAUGAGGGCCUAGACCACGCUCUUGCAGCAGUCACAUUUGUUCCUGGGCUUUGGUUGUUAUUUCUAAAUGUUUGAG